rnacentral:piRNA from 1 species
UAAUGGUGUGGUCUGCAUGAUAUUUGUUGGA